GAACGAACGCUGGCGGCAGGCUUAACACAUGCAAGUCGAGCGCCCCGCAAGGGGAGCGGCAGACGGGUGAGUAACACGUGGGAACGUACCCUUUGCUACGGAAUAGCUCCGGGAAACUGGAAUUAAUACCGUAUGCGCCCUACGGGGGAAAGAUUUAUCGGCAAAGGAUCGGCCCGCGUUGGAUUAGCUAGUUGGUGGGGUAAUGGCCUACCAAGGCGAUGACGGGUAGGGGACCUGAGAGGGUGGCCCCCCACAAUGGAACUGAAACACGGUCCAUACACCUACGGGUGGCAGCAGUAGGGAAUAUUGGUAAUCUGGGAAACCGGGAACCAGCAACGCCGCGUGCGCGAUGAAGGCCUUCGGGUUGUAAAGCGCUUUUUAAAGGGAUGAGGAAGGACAGUACCUUUAGAAUAAGCCUCGGCUAACUACGUGCCAGCAGCCACGGUAAAACGUAGGAGGCGAGCGUUAUCCGGAUUUACUGGGCGUAAAGCGUGUGCAGGCGGUUUGAUAAGUUGGAUGUGAAAGCUCCUGGCUUAACCGGGAGAGGUCGUUCAAAACUAUCAGACUAGAGAGUGGUAGAGGGAGAUGGAAUUCCGCGUGUAGUGGUGAAAUGCGUAGAUAUGCGGAGGAACACCAGUGGCGAAAGCGAUCUCCUGGCCCAUUUCUGACGCUCAGACACGAAAGCUAAGGUAGCAAACGGGAUUAGAGACCCCGGUAGUCUUAGCUGUAAACGAUGCGAACUUAGUGUCGGUGGGGUUAAAUCCAUCGGUACUGAAGCUAACGCGAUAAGUUCACCGCCUGGGGACUACGGCCGCAAGGUUAAAACUCAAAGGAAUUGACGGGGCCCCGCACAAGCAGCGGAGCGUGUGGUUUAAUUCGAUGUUACACGAAGAACCUUACCAGGGUUUGACAUGCAAGUGGUAGGAAACCGAAAGGCGACCGACCCUUCGGGGAGCUUGCACAGGUGCUGCAUGGCUGUCGUCAGCUCGUGUCGUGAGAUGUUCGGUUAAGUCCGCUAACGAGCGCAACCCUCGCUGUGUGUUAUAUGUGUCACACGGGACUGCCGGUCUUAAGCCGGAGGAAGGUGGGGAUGAUGUCAAGUCAGCAUGGCCUUUAUAUCCUGGGCUACACACACGCUACAAUGGCCAGCACAGUAGGUUACUAAGCCGCGAGGUGGAGCCAAUCCAUAAAGCUGGUCUCAGUUCAGAUUGCAGGCUGCAACCCGCCUGCAUGAAGAUGGAGUUGCUAGUAACCGCAGGUCAGCUAUACUGCGGUGAAUACGUUCCCGGGGCU
rnacentral:rRNA from 1 species